CGAAAUCAGUCAAUAAUCGCGUUCUUAGAUGGGUAAUAUAGAAUAAUUGUGGCCCUUAUGGCAAGUGGGGUAAUGUGUGAAAGUAGAGUUAACUUAUGGGCAGCAAAUGGAGGAUGGGCCAGCUUGCAAAAACCUGGUGGCACUACGCAGCUUUCGGUGAGAAUCCUGCUCCUGCUCAUACAAACCAGCGAACCGACUCCACUGGACUACGGCAUUUCAUUUUGCUGACCUGCUGAGACAGAGGAGGUGAGUGAUACUUUUUCUAUGGAACAAUAUUGCAACACCCUUUGUGUUAUUUAACAUGAGAAAAGUUAACUUUCUUUUUGGGAUAUGAUCAAUUCAGUUUUUUAUCUACUCAAA